UCAGGACGAACGCUGGCCGGCGUGCCUAACACAUGCAAGUGGAGCGACGAACCGGGGCUUGCCCCGGGGCAGAGCCGCGAACGGGUGAGUAACACGUGGGUUACCUGCCCCGAUGACUGGGACAACCCGUCGAAAGACGGGCUAAUACCGGAUGUGCCCCUUGGGGGAAAGGAAGCUUCGGCCUCCGCAUCGGGAUGGGCCCGCGGCGCAUUAGCUUGUUGGUGGGGUAAUGGCUUACCAAGGCGACGAUGCGUAGCUGGUCUGAGAGGACGAUCAGCCACACUGGGACUGAGACACGGCCCAGACUCUACGGGAGGCAGCAGUGGGGAAUCUUGCACAAUGCGCGAAAGCGUGAUGCAGCAACGCCGCGUGCGGGAAGAAGGCCUUAGGGUUGUAAACCGCUUUCAGUUGGGACGAAGCUUCGGUCGUGAAUAGCGGUUUGGAGUGACGGUACCUUCAGAAGAAGCGCCGGCUAACUACGUGCCAGCAGCCGCGGUAAUACGUAGGGCGCGAGCGUUGUCCGGAAUCAUUGGGCGUAAAGCGCGUGUAGGCGGCUGAGUAAGUCUGCUGUGAAAGUCCAGGGCUCAACCCUGGAAUGUCGGCGGAUACUGCUCAGCUGGAGUACGGGAGGGGCGAGUGGAAUUCCUGGUGUAGCGGUGGAAUGCGCAGAUAUCAGGAGGAACACCUAUGGCGAAGGCAGCUCGCUGGAACGUUACUGACGCUGAGACGCGAAAGSUGGGGAGCAAACAGGAUUAGAUANCCUGGUGAGUCCACGCUGUAAACGAUGGAUACUAGGUGUGGGGGGUGUCAACUCYCUCCGUGCCGAAGCUAACGCAUUAAGUAUCCCGCCUGGGGAGUACGGCCGCAAGSUAAAAACUCAAAGGAAUUGACGGGGGCCCGCACAAGCAGCGGAGCAUUGUGGUUUAAUUCGACGCAACGCGAAGAACCUUACCUGGGCUUGACAUGUUCUUGAUCGGCGUGGAAACACGUCUUCCCUCACGGGCAAGAUCACAGGUGGUGCAUGGCUGUCGUCAGCUCGUGUCGUGAGAUGUUGGGUUAAGUCCCGCAACGAGCGCAACCCCCGUCGUAUGUUGCCAGCAUUUAGUUGGGGACUCAUGCGAGACUGCCGGUGGCAAACCGGAGGAAGGUGGGGAUGACGUCAAGUCAUCAUGCCCCUUAUGUCCAGGGCUACACACGUGCUACAUUGGCGUAUACAAAGGGUUGCGAUACCGCGAGUGGAGCGAAUCUCACAAAGUACGUCUCG
rnacentral:rRNA from 1 species